rnacentral:rRNA from 1 species
GAUGAACGCUGGCGGCGUGCCUAAUACAUGCAAGUCGAGCGAACGGACGAGAAGCUUGCUUCUCUGAUGUUAGCGGCGGACGGGUGAGUAACACGUGGAUAACCUACCUAUAAGACUGGGAUAACUUCGGGAAACCGGAGCUAAUACCGGAUAAUAUUUUGAACCGCAUGGUUCAAAAGUGAAAGACGGUCUUGCUGUCACUUAUAGAUGGAUCCGCGCUGCAUUAGCUAGUUGGUAAGGUAACGGCUCACCAAGGCAACGAUGCAUAGCCGACCUGAGAGGGUGAUCGGCCACACUGGAACUGAGACACGGUCCAGACUCCUACGGGAGGCAGCAGUAGGGAAUCUUCCGCAAUGGGCGAAAGCCUGACGGAGCAACGCCGCGUGAGUGAUGAAGGUCUUCGGAUCGUAAAACUCUGUUAUUAGGGAAGAACAUAUGUGUAAGUAACUGUGCACAUCUUGACGGUACCUAAUCAGAAAGCCACGGCUAACUACGUGCCAGCAGCCGCGGUAAUACGUAGGUGGCAAGCGUUAUCCGGAAUUAUUGGGCGUAAAGCGCGCGUAGGCGGUUUUUUAAGUCUGAUGUGAAAGCCCACGGCUCAACCGUGGAGGGUCAUUGGAAACUGGAAAACUUGAGUGCAGAAGAGGAAAGUGGAAUUCCAUGUGUAGCGGUGAAAUGCGCAGAGAUAUGGAGGAACACCAGUGGCGAAGGCGACUUUCUGGUCUGUAACUGACGCUGAUGUGCGAAAGCGUGGGGAUCAAACAGGAUUAGAUACCCUGGUAGUCCACGCCGUAAUCGAUGAGUGCUAAGUGUUAGGGGGUUUCCGCCCCUUAGUGCUGCAGCUAACGCAUUAAGCACUCCGCCUGGGGAGUACGACCGCAAGGUUGAAACUCAAAGGAAUUGACGGGGACCCGCACAAGCGGUGGAGCAUGUGGUUUAAUUCGAAGCAACGCGAAGAACCUUACCAAAUCUUGACAUCCUUUGACAACUCUAGAGAUAGAGCCUUCCCCUUCGGGGGACAAAGUGACAGGUGGUGCAUGGUUGUCGUCAGCUCGUGUCGUGAGAUGUUGGGUUAAGUCCCGCAACGAGCGCAACCCUUAAGCUUAGUUGCCAUCAUUAAGUUGGGCACUCUAAGUUGACUGCCGGUGACAAACCGGAGGAAGGUGGGGAUGACGUCAAAUCAUCAUGCCCCUUAUGAUUUGGGCUACACACGUGCUACAAUGGACAAUACAGAGGGCAGCGAAACCGCGAGGUCAAGCAAAUCCCAUAAAGUUGUUCUCAGUUCGGAUUGUAGUCUGCAACUCGACUACAUGAAGCUGGAAUCGCUAGUAAUCGUAGAUCAGCAUGCUACGGUGAAUACGUUCCCGGGUCU